rnacentral:rRNA from 1 species
GGGCCCGCACAAGUGGUGGAUCAUCUUGUUUAAUUCGAUAAUACGCGCAAAACCUUACCAACCCUUGACAUCUUUUUUUCAUGACCUUAAGAGGGUCUUGAUUAUUAAAAAGACAGGUGCUGCAUGGCUGUCGGCAGUUCGUGUUGUGAAAUGUUUGGUUAAAUCCUAUAACGGACGCAACCCCUUCAAAAUUUUCAUUUGCUUUUUUGAAAUGCCCAUGAGAAGUGGGAGGAAGGUGGGGAUCACGUCAAGUCCUCAUGGCCCUUAUGGGUUGGGCUACAAAGGUGAUACAAUGGUAAUGACAAAGGGAUGCAAUGAUUUAAGUCGGAGCAAAUCCUAAAAAUUAUCUUAGUUCGGAUUGGUCUCUGCAACUCGAGACCAUGAAGCUGGAAUCACUAGUAAUCG